rnacentral:tRNA from 1 species
GAGGGUGUGGCUCAGUGGUAGAGCGCGUGCUUAGCAUGUGUGAGGUCCUGGGUUCAGUCCCCAGUCCCUCCA